ACGUAGGGGGCGAGCGUUGUCCGGAAUUACUGGGCGUAAAGCGCACGCAGGCGGGGUGUUAAGUCGGCUGUGUACCGCCCGGGCUCAACCUGUGUCUUGCGGUCGAUACUGGCAGCCUCGAGUACGAGAGAGGGAAGUGGAAUUCCCGGUGUAGCGGUGAAAGGCGUAGAGAUCGGGAGGAACACCAGUGGCGAAGGCGGCUUCCUGGCUCGUGACUGACGCUCAUGGGCGAAAGCUGGGGGAGCGAACGG
rnacentral:rRNA from 1 species